GACGAACGCUGGCGGCGUGCUUAACACAUGCAAGUCGAACGGUGAAAGACGAGCUUUCUCUUCUGGAUCAGUGGCGAACGGGUGAGUAACACGUGAGUAACCUGCCCCUGACUCUGGAAUAAGCGCUGGAAACUGCGUCUAAUACCGGAUACGAGCCCGUGCUGCAUGGCUACUGUCUGGAAAGUUUUUCGGUCUGGGAUGGACUCGCGGCCUAUCAGCUUGUUGGUGAGGUAACGGCUCACCAAGGCAACGACGGGUAGCCGGCCUGAGAGGGCGACCGGCCACACUGGGACUGAGACACGGCCCAGACUCCUACGGGAGGCAGCAGUGGGGAAUAUUGCACAAUGGGCGAAAGCCUGAUGCAGCGACGCCGCGUGAGGGAUGACGGCCUUCGGGUUGUAAACCUCUUUCAGCAGGGAAGAAGCGAAAGUGACGGUACCUGCAGAAGAAGCACCGGCUAACUACGUG
rnacentral:rRNA from 1 species